rnacentral:tRNA from 1 species
UGGGGCAUUGGCGCAGUUGGUAGCGCGCUUCCAUGGCAUGGAAGAGGUCAGGGGUUCGAAUCCCCUAUGCUCCACUCG